UCUUUCUAACAAGAAGAAGAAAAGUCAGGCAAAUCUACUACGGCCUUUUUCUCAGGACCCGAUACCGCAUGGGGCCCGUUUGCAUAUCUCUGCCCUCAUCACUCACAAACUCAUUCAGUACGGAGUUAGACGCACUAGCAGGAAAUCCGUUUCACAGAAUGGCUACUCCAUAUACUCGUCCAGGAAGAAUUACGUGCAAAUGCAUUCAGACCCGUGUGAUAAAUAAAGCUGAAACAUUUAUAUACACACAACAGUCUAAAAUUGAACCUGCAACAUACAGGACAACUUCAGUCUGUGCCCUCACGAAUAAUGUCUUGACCUACCUACACAAAAGAUCUGGCCCAGACCCCGAAUUUGAGGAAGGAGCUAGCUACAUUUUAAAGAAUGUGACCGUCUCUACCAGAGAUGGGCUAGCGCAUUUACUAGUCGGGCCAGCAACACAGAGAUUUCGUACACAAGAUGCACUCUGUCCACCCUCUAAACCCAUAUCUGGCAACGAAGACAACAUGUACUUUACGCAUGGAUAUAUUACUCUUCAAGGCCAAGUGAAAAAACUACAAAAAGUGAGGAUGACACGAUCCUCGAUUCCCAUUUUAAAUUUAAAGCUGCUGUGUGGUCCUGAUCAACUUGAUAUCUCCCUGUGGAAAGAAGAAACUCUUUGUGGCUUACACAUUGGAGAUGACGUAGAGAUCACCCACCUUUAUGGUGACAAGGUGCCUCGAGGAAGAAGUAGUUUUCAUUCCUCUCAGUAUACAACUGUUAAGGUAAUCAUAAUACAAUCUUUACAAAAAUGUAAAG